CCUUGUAAUCAAAAAUGUAAGAAAAAGAAAGAACAAGAAGCAAGUUAAUUAAGCAAUACAAUUGAAAGUUCCAUUCCCUCCUCUACUUCUCCUCAAAAUCAAAUCCUCCUAAUAUAGUUGUCCUAAUCACAUCUUCUCCCAACUUCUAGCUCCUAAAUAUCUUUCCCUAAACACAUUGUUCCUAGCCCACUACUAUCAAAAGCUUCCGCACCAAAUUCCAAUAGUGGUAUCAAAGCCACAAAUUCUAACAGUGGUAUCAGAGCCACAAAUUCUAAUAGUGGUACCAGAGCUUGCUUCGAUCAAAUUUGGGGCGUUGAUUUGUGUCUUCCUCCAUGUCUACUUCCACCUCCAACCAAACAUCAAUUUCUCUUCCCAUCUUCAAGGGAGAAAACUAUGAUUUUUGGAAUAUCAAGAUGAGAACUUUCUUCAUGUCUCAAGAUCUAUGGGACAUAGUAGAGAAAAGAUUCUCAACUUCAGAAAAUGUGACAGUGGAGCAGUGGAGGCAAGAAAAGAAAGAAAAACUAAGAGAUGCUAGUGCUCUUUUUUCCAUUCAACAAGCGGUGAACGAUACAAAUUUUUCAAGAAUCAUGGGACCUACUACAUCAAAAGAAGCUUGGAAUCUACUAAAUGAGGAGUUUCAAGGAACUGCAAAGGUACGUUCUGUCAAAUUACAAACUAUAAGGAGAGAUUUAGAAAAUUUGAAAAUGAAAGAUUCUGAGAUCGUUAAAGAUUACUAUUACUAACUAAAGGAAAUAGUAAAUCAAUUAAGAGCCUAUGGUGAAAAUAUUAGUGAGACUAGAGUAGUUGAAAAAAUAAUCAUUAGCCUCACUGAAAAAUAUGAUCCAAUAGUUAUUGCCAUCGAAAAUUCUAAAGACAUAACAACUCUUUUGGUGACAGAACUAAUAGGCUCUUUAGAAGCUUAUGAAAAAAGAUUGAGUAGUCGGAAUGAAACUCCUAUAGAGAGUGCAUUCCAGUCUAAACUCAACCUACGAUCUCAGAGAAAUAAAAAAGAUGCAAAGUUGAAAGAAUAUUCUAUAGGAGGACAAAGACCCAAAAAUUGGGAAAAUAAAAAAGAUAUAAAGAAGAAGAAAAAUUAUUCUCCGUGUGGAAUUUGCCACAAAAAUAAUCAUCGAGAAAUAGACUAUUGGUUUCGGGGAAAACCAAAAUGCUGAAACUGCAACAAGUUUGAUCAUAUCAAGGAAAACUGUUUCCUCAAGAAAAAUCAGCGAGCAGAUUUUUCAAAAGAAAAUGAGCAAGAUGAGAAGCUCUUUUAUACAUGUCACUCGACAAUUGAAGAGAAAAAUAAGAAGUGGUACGUGGAUAUAUAGUGGCUGCAGCAAUCACAUGUCAGGAGACAAAACCAUUUUCUCCAAUUUUAAUACUUAGAAAAAGUCUCAAGUGAAAUUGAGAAAUGGAGAAAUGGUGAAGACAAAAGGAAAAGGUACGAUUUCCAUCCCGACUAAUUUGGGAACUAAACAUAUUAAUGAUGUUAUAUUAGUUCCUAACUUGGACCAUAAUCUCCUAAGUGUCAGACAAAUGAUGGAAAAUGGAUAUCCUAUAUAUUUUUUCAUGGAGACUUUUGUAAAAUAUAUGAUAAGAAAAGAAGGCUAAUCUUCAAAAUAAGGAUGAAAAAUGGAAAUUUUCCCAUCCAAUGGCAACAAAUGGCCAUGAAAGCAGAAAUCGAGAAGAAAAAUAUUGGCCUCGAGAAAAAGUAGCGGAGGACCCCACCACUUCAAGUAAAUAAAGAAGGAAGUUCAAAUCCUUCACAACCAAAAACUUGCAAUGAAGAAGAAAGCCAGAGAAAGGCUAUGGAAGAAGAAAGCCAAAGAAAGGCUAUGGAAGACGAACACCUUCGCCAAACCACUUCCAAGAUUGAGACUUGAAUUACUACGAGAUUGCUCGGAGUAUCAUAAAGGUGCAUUAAGGAGGAGUGCUGAAAGUUAAUGCACAUUGAUCAUCUAAAAUAAUCUCCAUCAAUCAAGAGAAGUCUAAGAGUUGCUAGAGUAAUCUAGAAUAUGAUCUAGAAUGAACAUUUUAGCUAGUGCAAGAAGUUUCUAGAGUUAUCAUGUAAGUAGGUGUAGGAAGUCUCUAGAAUUAUCAUGUAAUUGUGACAAGGUUCUAAAUUAAUCAUGGAAUCAGUGUAAUCAAGGUCUAGAAUAUCUAACAAGUCUAGGAAAGUCUAGAAUGAUCCAUCAAGGUCUAUAAAUAUGUGAUGUACCCUUGUAAUCAAGAAUGUAAGAAAAAGAAAGAACAAGAAGCAAGUUAAGCAAUACAAUUGAAAGUUCCAAUCCCUCCUCUACUUCUCCUCAAAAUCAUAUCCUCCUAAUAUAGUUGUCCUAAUCACAUCUUCUCCCAACUUCUAGCUCCUAAGUAUCUUUUCCUAAACACAUUGUUCCUAGCCCACUACUAUCAAAAGGUUAUGCACUAAAUUCCAAUAGUAGUAUCAAAGCCACAAAUUCUAAUAGUGGUAUCAAAGCUACAAAUUCUAACAAUUAUUACCAGGUCAUGUGACAGACAUUCCACCCAUUUCAUCUUUGGUAACAACUAAAUAAGGUAAGCAAACCUUGUUAAGCAACUGUUGGUGCAGAAAAAUUUCAUAGACGAGUUUGACUCACCAAUGAAUGCGGACUGGAGCGGGAGUUGACCAGGUUUUGACCGUCGGCUCGAGGAGAAUGGGGGGUACCUGCAGAAAACUCUCUGAUGCCUACAUUAGUACGUUUCUUAGUAGUGGAGUAGAGAGAAUUGGAAUUCGAUGGAUUACUUGGACGUCGAGCCUCCUUUAUAUAGGCGAUGACUUACUUGGGGAACAAGCUGCCAUUAUUUUUGCUUUUAUGGUUGCAUUUAUUUACACACUUAUGAUGACAAUUAUUGCUGCACUAAUAACAGUUAAUCAUUGCAUACUUACGACCGUCAUUCAUUGCAUAUUUAUGAUAGUAUUCAUUGCGCACUUAUAAUCAUAAUCAUUGUGUGUAGUUAUUGUCAUAAUAAUUGCCGCAUUCAUGACUGAAAUUUAACGUCAUACUAACUACGGAGUUAAUCACCUUAAUUGCAAGCCCAACAUAAUUUGACCACUCCCACAAUGCCCCCAAAUUUUCUCUUUGAAAACUCGUCCUGAGGGGAAAUUUCCAUUCUCUGGCUGUUUCGAAUGUUGCCUCGAAUAUUUCCUCGAGCUUUGGCUGUCUCGAUUCUUUCCUCGAGCCCUGGCUGCCUCGAUUCUUUCCUCAGGCCCUGGCCGUCCUGGCCACCCCGAAUCUUUCCUAGGGCCCUGGCCGCCCUAAAUCUUUCCUCGGGCCAUGGCCACCUCGAUUCUUUCCUCAGACCCUAGUCGCCUCGAUUCUUUCCUCAAGGCGAAGAUUCAUUUUCAGCAUGAGACAUGGAAUUGCCCCCAUUUGCCUUUAAAUCUGAUCAACAACAUUUUAUUCCCACAGACGGCGCCACUUGUUGGUGACAAAAAAUUCCGUAGAGGAGUCCGUAGAGGAGUUUGACUCACUAAUUAAUGCCAACUGGAGCGGGAGCUGACCGGGAACAAUCGAGAAGCUUCCUUCGAGCGUUGACCUGGAGUUUGACCGUCGGCUCGAAGAGAAUGGGAGGCCCAGCAGAAUUUGACCACUCCCACAACAACCCAAUUAGCUCAUCCAAAACUAAACAUUAAUCUUUGUAUGGAUCAUAAUCUUUUCAUUCUUCCAAGUGACAGCUUAAUUCAAGUAUUAAUAUCAAGUCCUAAAGUUAGACAAAGUAACUCACUAGUACAAGUAGGAAAUAAAAAAAACAACGUUGGUGCUUAUGAAGUGGUGUUGAGCAUCCAGAUGUAAUUUACUAUAUACUAUUUGUGGGUUCAUUGUUCAUCAACUUAGUAACAGUAUCGGCUUGAGCCGAUCCGAUGAACAGUGGGAAGACCAUUUUGCCCCUGCGCCUCUGGAAUUUCACCUAAUUACCCCGACAAGUGUUUACUAGCUGUGGCACCUUAUGAUUUUGGCUUGGCUACAUGUUUACUCUGCAAAAAACAGAGAUGGUGAGAGAGACGGACUCCGACUAUUAGUCUUGACCUAAUGAUGGAUGGGACUUUGUCUGUGUGUGUUUUUGUGUUCUCUGAUUAGAGAAAUAAUCAAGAAAAUGGAGAAUGAACAACGAGAAGAUUGAAUUCGGAGGACUGUUUAUGUGUCCGAGAAACAACUCGCAGUUCUACUCGUUACUUCUGGGCAGGUAAUGUUGUUUUCUUUUGAAGAGAUUUUCAUUGCCUGAUCAAAAUUUCUGCUUUUGAACAAUUGGCAUUUUUUGUGGAUGAAGGUUGUUGACUGUCGACUUUUGAACAAUUGGCAUUUUUAUCAGAAUUUGCUUUCCAUUUAUCGAGUUCUCUGAUGGAGGUAGUGUAGGUUGCCCAUAUGCCGAGAUUAUAUGGAUGCAUACAUUUGAAGAAUUAUAAGUUACAGUUACGGUUUGCUAAUCGUUAUCUGUCUAUUGAUUUGUUUCUCAUGGUUUUUGUGUAAGUAGAAGGUGCAAAGACUGCUUUGAGUCUUGCCGGGACAAUACUUGGAUGAGGGUUUUGCUUUCUAACACAGCUAUUGCACAUGUUAGCCCAAUAGAGGUUCUUAAAGGUUUGACCCUUCGAUUUUUCUUCUCAAGAAUUUGAUCUUAGGAAAAUCAAUUUGUCAAAUUGUGUUUGUUUUUCUAGGGUGUGUGAAAGUAAGGUCAAAUUGUGUUUGUUUUUCUAGGGUGUGAGAAAGUAAGAGUGAGUUUUGAAUUGGAGGUGUAUAUUCUAAUCAUUUAACCUUACUUGAAAUUAUAUUGAAAAACAAACUAAGUGAGCUAUAUAUAGGUGGCUUGGAAAAUUUGGUGAAAGAGACUCAAAGGGUACUGUACUGUACUGUAUAAAAAAUAUUUCUUGAAAUGCACUCAUAUGCUUCUUUUUUAUCUUGCUUCCAGAUAUGGCUGCAAUUUGCUUCGACCAGCAAUGAAACAAAUAAUAAUGAACUCAGAGUCAUAUAUGUAAAUUGAGUUUGGUCAGUUUAAAUAACUCCAAUUCAAUUCUCUUUUCCUAACUUCAUUUUUUGGAAAGGUCAAUUCUAUUUUAUAUACUUCUUCUGCUUUAUUGGGCAGCAACAUGGUUCCAAACUAUCUGUUUCCAAACUUUGCAAAUAGGUCAAUCUUCACAUUCCACUCCAGUUGUAAACCAGAGUUUGUUGUUGACGGAACUACAUCAAUUGAAAGGUACUGAAUUUGGCUAUUGAUAUGUCUCAUGUUUAUAUCUUUGUUGUAGUUACAAACUAUAGGAGGAACUCAAAUGAGAAUUCCCACUGCCUUUUUUUUUUUGGCUGAAACUAUUCUUAUAUUUGAUAUGUCAUUGUUCUAGAUUGAUUGUUGUCCACUUUAUUAAAGGCGUCUCUUUCUCUUCUUUAA